rnacentral:lncRNA from 1 species
UCUGGCUUGUACAGCUUUCAUAGGUCACAGUUCUGUUGAAGGAAGUCCAGGGCAGGAACCCCAGGUAGGAACCUGGAGGCGAGACCCAUAGAGGAAUGCUGUAUGCUAACUGCUUCUCCGCCUUGCUCGCAAGUUCAUGCUCACUCAGGUAGAUGUUUACAUAGCCCAGGACCACCUACUUAGGGAAUGACACUGCCCAUAGUGGGCUGGGUCAAUUAGCAACCAAACAACCCCCAUAGAAUACCCACAGGCCCCUCUGAUCUAGGCAGCUCCUCAAGUGGGGUUUCCCUCUUCCUGGGUGACUCAAGUCUGAGUGAAAUUGACAGUAAAAACUGAGCAGGAUGCCUGCAUCUAUAACAUCACAGCACACGGGAGGUAGAGGCAGGAGGAUUAGGAGUUCGGGCUCAUCCUCCACUAUGAGUAGGGGAUGAAGGCCAGUCUGGGCUCUAUGGUACUUUGUGUGGAAGACAGCAAAUGAGUAAAAACAAAAGACAUUUUCAUCUUUGUUUCCUUACUGAUCUUCUUUCUCACUUCCUUUCUUUUUUUCCCACCUUAUCUUUUUCUUCUUUCUUUCUUCUCUCUUUUUUUAAGGCAGAGUAUCUCUCUUCCUCUCUCCCACUCUGAGACAGAUUCCCUCUGACUCUCAGAGUCUCACUAGACCUACCAGGCUGCUGUGGAGCCCACUCUGCUGCCUUUGUUUUGUGGUAGGGUUUCCCUGUAUAGCUCAGGGUGGCUUUAAACUUACGAACAUACUGCCUUUAUCCCCCACAAGUGCUUGAGUAUAGACCCACUUGUGUGUCACCCUGGUGGCUUCGGCCCUGUGUGUUGGUUAUGUUUUAUGUCCCUAUGUAAGCUAUGGUAUAGAGAUAUUUCUCUCUCUCAUAUAAGUGUGAGUGUGUGUGUGUGUGUGUGUUGCAUAUAUUAUCCUGUGUGUGUGUGUGUGUAUAUAUAUAUACAUAUUAUAUGUAUACAUAUACACAUAUGUGUGUAUGUAUAUAUAUCUUAUAUAUAUGAUAACAUGAUAUACAUGUGAGUAUGUAUGAAUAUGAUAAUGUCUAAUAUAUGAAAGAGAAAUCUCUGUCUCUGUCUCUGUCUCUCUGUCCUUCUGUCUGUCUGUCUGUCUGUCUGUCUGUCUGUCUCUCUCUCUCUCUCUCACACACACACACACACACACACACACACGCAUACGCACUCGCACAUGCACACACCCACACUCCAGAAGAUGUUACAGAGCCAUUUUGGAAGAGGAGAUUCAACUGAGACAAUGCCCCUACCAGACUGGCCUGCAAGCAAGCCUGUGCAGGACCCGGGUAUUCGUGGGUGCGAGGGGGACCGCAAACCUGAAGAGAAAUGAGCGAGAAAGAAGAGCGAGACCAAGCAAAGAGUUGUCAAGGUUUCUUCAUCAUUCUGGAUCCCAGAGGAGGGGACAGACACUGGGGUGACUAAAUCCCAUGAAUGACAAACUUUUGUGCUUAUAAAGCACUGAGCCUGGAUGGGAUGUUUGUUACUGUAACACAACCUGACAUUCCUAGCCGAUACACCAACUCCCCAGCAAGAGGG